rnacentral:lncRNA from 1 species
AAAAAUAUCUUAAUAGUGAACGGAGGGAGUAGAAGAUAAGGUUUAGAAGUGCUCCUCUACUGAGUAUGAACGAAGUAAAUUAUGGAACUCGCGGCGGAUCUUCCUCAAGUAUGUACAGAUAUAAAUAAAAGAUUGACGUGGGAUCUCGGUGCAUUUUAUUUUCUUGAUCAAAAGAGAGGCCCCCCUCUCCGAUUUCACUAAGAGAAACCAAGGUUCACAGCUACUACUAGGGUUUUUGUUACCCCGCACACGACAUACUAUCUUACAUGACCGGGGAUUACGACGAACCCCAGCCCAGCACCUCAAAAGGAUCGUGCAAGAUCUGAAAAUAAAAGCAGAGCACCCACACAACACUUCAGACACAGCAUACAGUAGUUGGAAGCAAAGCCUAGCACAUCAUAGCUAAAGCAAGAACUAGAUAACGGCUGAGGCAGCAGCAACGACGAAGAAGGUAAGCCACUGGGAAGACGAUCGGGACCUCAGCGCAUGCUCAUACAUCUCAAGCAUCGACGGAUGCAAUGUUGGUGGCAUCGUUGCAGAACCGGCCGCACGCAUCGCCGCAGCGCCCCACGCCGACUUUCGUGUCUUCGCCAAGCUCAGCUGAUGACAAGAUCAAGAUGUGUGCAAUGCUCAUUCCAAACCGAAAAAAAAACUUUUCCCUCUUAUGAUAAAUUGAAAGUUAUAUAUACAGAUGAUGAGUUAAUUCAGAUACUACCUGAAUUGACGUUGUCACAGACUGAGAGCCUACAUCCUAAUUUGCAGUACUCAAUGGCGUCUGGUUCUUCUUCCGCAACAGCAGGAGCAAGCAUUAGUCAACCAGCCGUUAAUUGCAAUUUCUAUGCAUCUGGGAGCAAAAUGAUGUAGAGAAAACAGGAAGGGUGGCUUGGGUUCACGUACCAGCUGAACCGGGGAGAAGGUUGAGCUUAGGGUAUUCCCUGGGGCAUGUGCUGUCCCUUGUGAGCACACAGCCACACAUUUUUGAGCAGGGAGUACUGGGGUGCACAAGAAGGCACACGUUGUAACAGUUUCUUGACCUGGUGUCUCUGCAGCAGCUCUUGCCCUCUGCUACUUGGAUUUGUCCCUGGACAAGCAGUCCCAGUAUCAGUAUGAGUGCACACAUGAUCACGCUCUUGAAAUGCUUGCUCUCCAUGGCUGCCUUCCCUGCUGCGAAAACGCACAGGAACAAGACUCGUAUAUAUGGCCCCAAUUUAUAGGAGACGAUGCUCCGCAUGGGCAGUAAUUGUUGAGAAGUGAUAUGCAUGAAUGAGCCGUGCUCCGCUGAGAGCCACGUACACGGUUGAGAUCGUCUACGUGUGCGCUGCGUGCCCUAGGCGAUUAUGCGGUGCCCGCUAACUCCUACCUGCCUCGUGCAUUAAGUUUUCACGUGCAGCUCUUGUGCCAUGGCCGACUAGGAUGUUUUUAGGUGUAUUUUACUUUACUCUUGUGUUAUGGACAGAUACGUGGCCACUCGACCGGUUGUCCUCGUCGACGGUACCUCGCCCAGAAGAUGCCUACUCUCCAUCCUCAUUAGCUUCCGUGUUCUUCUUCUUUUUUCUUUUCUCUUAUUUAUUUUUCAAGAAAACUUCCGAUAUAUUCAUCUGCAAUCAUGGCACUACAACAAACAUCUUAAAUAAUAAAAAUUAUAUCCAGAUCCGUAGACCACCUAGCGACGACUACAAGCAUUGAAGCGAGCUGAAGACGCGCCGCCGUCAUUGCCCCUCCCUUGCAGGAGCUGGACAAAACUUGUUCUAGUAGACAGUCGAAAAAUCGUCGUACUAAGGCAACCGCCGCCGAUGAAGAGAGUAGUGUAGAUCGAAAGAAUUCAAUCUGAAAACACAUGAACAUAGACGAACUAUGAUCAGAUCCGAGCAUAUCCAGCAAGAACAGAUCCGCCGGAGACACACCUCCACAUGCCCAUCGAUGAUGCUAGACACACCAUCGGGAGGGCAGGCUGGGAGAACCUUAUUCCAUCUUCAGGGAGCUGUUGUCGUCUCGUCUUCUUGAAUAGGACACAAACUCUAACAAAAUACGAAGGAACAACUGAAAACAAAGCCCUUCCCCGACAAGGGCCGAGAUCCACCACACCACCAUGGCCCUAAAACCAUCGCAGACGACACGUACCGACGGCAGUACCAGCAGGAGGUGGGGGAACCCUAGACCAGCAAUUUUGUGGCCCAAGUUAGCACCUAGGAAAAAUUCUUCUUCUACUACUUCUUCUCUCUUAGGCUGCCCGUAAUGGAAGUAUCACACUCCCUCCGUCCGGGUUUAUUGGGCCCCUGGGCGGAGGGAGCUCGUCCGCUCUUAUUAGGCCCCUUAAUCGAUAUGGCUGUCAAAAGCAGAAAACGCUUCGUUGCUUUCUCGAUCUCCUCAGCCGCGGUUCAUCUUCCGAAGCGCAUUAAAUUUCCAUCCGCUGGCAUGCAGAAGAAGCUGCUAUACAUUGAGCGGACUAGUACUCCUAGCACAACGCCACAACAGUAGUCCCAGGAAAGAAACCAGCGUCUCGCCGGCCGGAUGCAGCGCUGUACCAGCAAUGUCGUCGCGACCGAAGGCGGAGCACAGCGUCGACGUUGAUCCGGACGCGGAGACCCAGUCCGGGCUGGGCUUGGACGCGUCGCCGACCAACCUCGCCGCUGCUGGGCACGCAGAGCUCAGUGUCCAUGGUGCGUCGCUGGCGGAGCACAGCGUGGACGUCGAUCCGGACGCGGAGACCCAGUCCGGGCUGGGCUUAGGCGCGCCACUGCCAGACCUCGUCGCUGCUGGGCACGCAGACCUCGGCGUCCAUGAUGCGCCGCAGGCCGAGCACGACAUGAAGGUCGCUCCCGACGCGGAGACCCAGGCGGAGCUGGGCUUGGGCGUCCAGGACAUGCAGGUAUGUAUGCAUGCCUUAUCCAGGGAUCAUGGUGAUGUUUAGUCGGUGCAGUUAGGCCGGCCAUGGUACUUAGCUUUUGUAGGAUGAAUAGCAAAUGAUGCAUGCUCCACCCUUGUCUUUACAUGAUGGCUACAUGCAGGGCGGCGUGCUGGACGUGGGGCAGGGCAUCCUCGCGCAUGCCCACGACGUGCUCGACGUCGCGCAGGGCAUCCUCGCGCUCGCCCAGGAGGGUCCAGACCUUGGGGCGCUGCUGGACCAGGUGGAGGCUCUCAUGGACACCGUCACGGCGCUCGUCGACGACGCCACGGCAUUGGUGAACCAGCGACCGGGUGUGCUCGGCAGGGAGGAGGGAUUCGUGGUGCCAAGGAGGACUGCAUUCGGACUGAAGAGAGUUGAACACGCCAAGAUCUAGGGCGUUAGUGUCCGGAGAAUUAGGUGGCUGCAUCACAACCCUAAUGUCCCAACCACCUUGAGCAGCUGCCGCACACACCGCCGGAUCAUCUGGUCGAACAUGUGUCUUGGCAUUGUCCUGUUGGAUGAAAAUAGGCUUGUACCGAUCCUCUUGCGGCCACUUCUCCUUGAUUGCCGGCAACACCUUCGUGAUCAAGUAUUCCCGGCUCUUCUCCAUGCCGACUUUAUCGCAUGGCUUGAGCUCCAACGUUCCUCUAGGCCUGUUUGGGCUUCUCCUCUGUGAUGGUUUCCACUCAACAUAGGGCCAAAUUCCAAUUUUACCAUCAAAAGUACAAUUGCCUUGCAUAUCAUAUCUUGGCCUAGCAACAGCAGCAAGAAACAUGAUCUUCUCAAUGUGUCCCUUGUUUUUGGCGUGCCUCACGGGGUUCGGCUCGUUAAUGCCCAAAUAAACCCCCUGGGUUUUCCUUGUACGAUAAAACCACUUUUCAUCAAUAUGGACCACAUUAAACGAAUCCUUGAAGACAGGGUUCUCCGGCAUACUAGCGGGUUCUAGGUUUGAAAGGCAAUACAUGACACGAGCUUUCUUGUUUUCUUCCGCUAGCAUAGGCUUGAGCUCGUUGGUGUGUUUGCGUAACUCAUGCUCCUUCAAAAGCCUGUGAACGGUGGUCUUCGCCAUGUUCAAUGCACCGGCAACAUCUCUAAUUGUUGUUCGAUCAUUCGGAGGGACGGCGGCUAAAGCAUCUGAGUCCAAUGUAACACGCUUUCUACCAACUCUGCCCGGCCGCUUGUUGAUAACCGCAUUCACACCACCUCCUCUCCUACCAUUAUCCCAUAUCCGCCGAAGAACCCUAACUGACACUUUAUAUAGAGCUGAUAUUUUCUUAGUCACCCCACGUUUCAAUGGACCACGUCCAUUUAUCUCCAAAAUGGCCGUAUACAGUGAACGCUUUUCGUCAUCAGUAUGAAAUGUCCUUCUUUUCCUAUUGGCCAUCACAUCUGGGAACAAACAUAAGAGUAGAAUUUUGUUAAACAACAAGUGUGAAAAUAAGUGUUCAUACAUCUGGGAACAAAUAUAAACAUUAUAAAAAAAUACCUAUUGCUCAUUCUAUAAAGUUGCAGGAAAUAUACAUGUGCAAAAUCCAUCUAUGAAACCGAUAAAAAAAUAUACGCACUGUUCCAUUGCAUAUUCGAACUAAAAAAUAAGUGUUCAUACACAAAGCAAGCAAACCUACUUAGAUCGAUGAUGUUGUUGGUCUCAUGAUCUUCAGCGUUCUGGUCCGUGCCGUCUCCUUCUUCCUCGACGUGCUGGUCCAUGCCAUGUCCGUGCUCCUCGCCGUGCUGGUCCAUGCCGUGGUCGUCCUCGCCGUGCUGGUCCAUGUCGUGGCCGUCCUGGUCGUGCUGGUCCGUACCCUGGCCAUCUUCCUCGCCGUUCUGGUCCGUGCCGUGGCCUUCUUCCUCGACGUGCUGGUCCAUGUCGUGGCCGCCGUACGCGCCGCCAUCGUGAGAACGGAAGGCGCCGCCGUCGUGGGCACCGUACGCGCCGCUGUCGUGUGCAUAGUACGCGCCACCGUCGUGGGCACCGUAUGCGCCGCUGUCGUGUGCACAGUACGCGCCGCCGUCGUGGGCAUCGUACGCGCCGCCGUCGUGUGCACAGUACGCGCCGCCGUCUUCGUGCCUUGUGAACCAACGACUGCCCCGCCAGCCGGACAUACUACCACUGGAGGAGCUCGCCACCGACGGCAACCGACCAGCAAGACCGAGACGAAGAUGGCGUUCAGCGCCGGACGAGCUACCUAUGUCGCGAACGGCAGCGUGUCCUCCCCCGAGGAGCGUGGGGCUGUGCUCGCAGCCUUGUCCACGGCCAGGCGAUGAACCUAUGGAUGCAGGAAAACGCCCACACCGGCGUACACGCCCGGAAAGACCGAGGCGUAGCUGGCCUUGCCCGCAGCCGGCAUGACCAAGACCUGGCCGGCCUUGCCCGCGGCCGUUGCCGGCUUUGUGGCCGAUGUAGAAACAUAUAAUAAGUUCAGGCAAUCACCGGAGCCUCUCCGGUUUACUAAAUACUACUCCCUCCCUCCGUUCACCAUUAUAGGAUGUUCUAACUUUUUUCUGAAACAGAUGUAUAUAGCCGUAUUUUAGUGUAUUUGUUCACUCAUUUCAGUCCAUAUGUAGUCCAUAUUGAAAUAUAAAAAAUAUCUUAAUAGUGAACGGAGGGAGUAGAAGAUAAGGUUUAGAAGUGCUCCUCUACUGAGUAUGAACGAAGUAAAUUAUGGAACUCGCGGCGGAUCUUCCUCAAGUAUGUACAGAUAUAAAUAAAAGAUUGACGUGGGAUCUCNNNNNNNNNNGCUGCGUGCCCUAGGCGAUUAUGCGGUGCCCGCUAACUCCUACCUGCCUCGUGCAUUAAGUUUUCACGUGCAGCUCUUGUGCCAUGGCCGACUAGGAUGUUUUUAGGUGUAUUUUACUUUACUCUUGUGUUAUGGACAGAUACGUGGCCACUCGACCGGUUGUCCUCGUCGACGGUACCUCGCCCAGAAGAUGCCUACUCUCCAUCCUCAUUAGCUUCCGUGUUCUUCUUCUUUUUUCUUUUCUCUUAUUUAUUUUUCAAGAAAACUUCCGAUAUAUUCAUCUGCAAUCAUGGCACUACAACAAACAUCUUAAAUAAUAAAAAUUAUAUCCAGAUCCGUAGACCACCUAGCGACGACUACAAGCAUUGAAGCGAGCUGAAGACGCGCCGCCGUCAUUGCCCCUCCCUUGCAGGAGCUGGACAAAACUUGUUCUAGUAGACAGUCGAAAAAUCGUCGUACUAAGGCAACCGCCGCCGAUGAAGAGAGUAGUGUAGAUCGAAAGAAUUCAAUCUGAAAACACAUGAACAUAGACGAACUAUGAUCAGAUCCGAGCAUAUCCAGCAAGAACAGAUCCGCCGGAGACACACCUCCACAUGCCCAUCGAUGAUGCUAGACACACCAUCGGGAGGGCAGGCUGGGAGAACCUUAUUCCAUCUUCAGGGAGCUGUUGUCGUCUCGUCUUCUUGAAUAGGACACAAACUCUAACAAAAUACGAAGGAACAACUGAAAACAAAGCCCUUCCCCGACAAGGGCCGAGAUCCACCACACCACCAUGGCCCUAAAACCAUCGCAGACGACACGUACCGACGGCAGUACCAGCAGGAGGUGGGGGAACCCUAGACCAGCAAUUUUGUGGCCCAAGUUAGCACCUAGGAAAAAUUCUUCUUCUACUACUUCUUCUCUCUUAGGCUGCCCGUAAUGGAAGUAUCAUACUCCCUCUGUCCGGGUUUAUUGGGCCCCUGGGCGGAGGGAGCUCGUCCGCUCUUAUUAGGCCCCUUAAUCGAUAUGGCUGCCAAAAGCAGAAAACGCUUCGUUGCUUUCUCGAUCUCCUCAGCCGCGGUUCAUCUUCCGAAGCGCAUUAAAUUUCCAUCCGCUGGCAUGCAGAAGAAGCUGCUAUACAUUGAGCGGACUAGUACUCCUAGCACAACGCCACAACAGUAGUCCCAGGAAAGAAACCAGCGUCUCGCCGGCCGGAUGCAGCGCUGUACCAGCAAUGUCGUCGCGACCGAAGGCGGAGCACAGCGUCGACGUUGAUCCGGACGCGGAGACCCAGUCCGGGCUGGGCUUGGACGCGUCGCCGACCAACCUCGCCGCUGCUGGGCACGCAGAGCUCGGUGUCCAUGGUGCGUCGCUGGCGGAGCACAGCGUGGACGUCGAUCCGGACGCGGAGACCCAGUCCGGGCUGGGCUUAGGCGCGCCACUGCCAGACCUCGUCGCUGCUGGGCACGCAGACCUCGGCGUCCAUGAUGCGCCGCAGGCCGAGCACGACAUGAAGGUCGCUCCCGAUGCGGAGACCCAGGCGGAGCUGGGCUUGGGCGUCCAGGACAUGCAGGUAUGUAUGCAUGCCUUAUCCAGGGAUCAUGGUGAUGUUUAGUCGGUGCAGUUAGGCCGGCCAUGGUACUUAGCUUUUGUAGGAUGAAUAGCAAACGAUGCAUGCUCCACCCUUGUCUUUACAUGAUGGCUACAUGCAGGGCGGCGUGCUGGACGUGGGGCAGGGCAUCCUCGCGCAUGCCCACGACGUGCUCGACGUCGCGCAGGGCAUCCUCGCGCUCGCCCAGGAGGGUCCAGACCUUGGGGCGCUGCUGGACCAGGUGGAGGCUCUCAUGGACACCGUCACGGCGCUCGUCGACGACGCCACGGCAUUGGUGAACCAGCGACCGGGUGUGCUCGGCAGGGAGGAGGGAUUCGUGGUGCCAAGGAGGACUGCAUUCGGACUGAAGAGAGUUGAACACGCCAAGAUCUAGGGCGUUAGUGUCCGGAGAAUUAGGUGGCUGCAUCACAACCCUAAUGUCCCAACCACCUUGAGCAGCUGCCGCACACACCGCCGGAUCAUCUGGUCGAACAUGUGUCUUGGCAUUGUCCUGUUGGAUGAAAAUAGGCUUGUACCGAUCCUCUUGCGGCCACUUCUCCUUGAUUGCCGGCAACACCUUCGUGAUCAAGUAUUCCCGGCUCUUCUCCAUGCCGACUUUAUCGCAUGGCUUGAGCUCCAACGUUCCUCUAGGCCUGUUUGGGCUUCUCCUCUGUGAUGGUUUCCACUCAACAUAGGGCCAAAUUCCAAUUUUACCAUCAAAAGUACAAUUGCCUUGCAUAUCAUAUCUUGGCCUAGCAACAGCAGCAAGAAACAUGAUCUUCUCAAUGUGUCCCUUGUUUUUGGCGUGCCUCACGGGGUUCGGCUCGUUAAUGCCCAAAUAAACCCCCUGGGUUUUCCUUGUACGAUAAAACCACUUUUCAUCAAUAUGGACCACAUUAAACGAAUCCUUGAAGACAGGGUUCUCCGGCAUACUAGCGGGUUCUAGGUUUGAAAGGCAAUACAUGACACGAGCUUUCUUGUUUUCUUCCGCUAGCAUAGGCUUGAGCUCGUUGGUGUGUUUGCGUAACUCAUGCUCCUUCAAAAGCCUGUGAACGGUGGUCUUCGCCAUGUUCAAUGCACCGGCAACAUCUCUAAUUGUUGUUCGAUCAUUCGGAGGGACGGCGGCUAAAGCAUCUGAGUCCAAUGUAACACGCUUUCUACCAACUCUGCCCGGCCGCUUGUUGAUAACCGCAUUCACACCACCUCCUCUCCUACCAUUAUCCCAUAUCCGCCGAAGAACCCUAACUGACACUUUAUAUAGAGCUGAUAUUUUCUUAGUCACCCCACGUUUCAAUGGACCACGUCCAUUUAUCUCCAAAAUGGCCGUAUACAGUGAACGCUUUUCGUCAUCAGUAUGAAAUGUCCUUCUUUUCCUAUUGGCCAUCACAUCUGGGAACAAACAUAAGAGUAGAAUUUUGUUAAACAACAAGUGUGAAAAUAAGUGUUCAUACAUCUGGGAACAAAUAUAAACAUUAUAAAAAAAAUACCUAUUGCUCAUUCUGUAAAGUUGCAGGAAAUAUACAUGUGCAAAAUCCAUCUAUGAAACCGAUAAAAAAAUAUACGCACUGUUCCAUUGCAUAUUCGAACUAAAAAAUAAGUGUUCAUACACAAAGCAAGCAAACCUACUUAGAUCGAUGAUGUUGUUGGUCUCAUGAUCUUCAGCGUUCUGGUCCGUGCCGUCUCCUUCUUCCUCGACGUGCUGGUCCAUGCCAUGUCCGUGCUCCUCGCCGUGCUGGUCCAUGCCGUGGUCGUCCUCGCCGUGCUGGUCCAUGUCGUGGCCGUCCUGGCCGUGCUGGUCCGUACCCUGGCCAUCUUCCUCACCGUUCUGGUCCGUGCCGUGGCCUUCUUCCUCGACGUGCUGGUCCAUGUCGUGGCCGCCGUACGCGCCGCCAUCGUGAGAACGGAAGGCGCCGCCGUCGUGGGCACCGUACGCGCCGCUGUCGUGUGCAUAGUACGCGCCACCGUCGUGGGCACCGUAUGCGCCGCUGUCGUGUGCACAGUACGCGCCGCCGUCGUGGGCAUCGUACGCGCCGCCGUCGUGUGCACAGUACGCGCCGCCGUCUUCGUGCCUUGUGAACCAACGACUGCCCCGCCAGCCGGACAUACUACCACUGGAGGAGCUCGCCACCGACGGCAACCGACCAGCAAGACCGAGACGAAGAUGGCGUUCAGCGCCGGACGAGCUACCUAUGUCGCGAACGGCAGCGUGUCCUCCCCCGAGGAGCGUGGGGCUGUGCUCGCAGCCUUGUCCACGGCCAGGCGAUGAACCUAUGGAUGCAGGAAAACGCCCACACCGGCGUACACGCCCGGAAAGACCGAGGCGUAGCUGGCCUUGCCCGCAGCCGGCAUGACCAAGACCUGGCCGGCCUUGCCCGCGGCCGUUGCCGGCUUUGUGGCCGAUGUAGAAACAUAUAAUAAGUUCAGGCAAUCACCGGAGCCUCUCCGGUUUACUAAAUACUACUCCCUCCCUCCGUUCACCAUUAUAGGAUGUUCUAACUUUUUUCUGAAACAGAUGUAUAUAGCCGUAUUUUAGUGUAUUUGUUCACUCAUUUCAGUCCAUAUGUAGUCCAUAUUGAAAUAUAAAAAAUAUCUUAAUAGUGAACGGAGGGAGUAGAAGAUAAGGUUUAGAAGUGCUCCUCUACUGAGUAUGAACGAAGUAAAUUAUGGAACUCGCGGCGGAUCUUCCUCAAGUAUGUACAGAUAUAAAUAAAAGAUUGACGUGGGAUCUCAGUGCAUUUUAUUUUCUUGAUCAAAAGAGAGGCCCCCCUCUCCGAUUUCACUAAGAGAAACCAAGGUUCACAGCUACUACUAGGGUUUUUGUUACCCCGCACACGACAUACUAUCUUACAUGACCGGGGAUUACGACGAACCCCAGCCCAGCACCUCAAAAGGAUCGUGCAAGAUCUGAAAAUGAAAGCAGAGCACCCACACAACACUUCAGACACAGCAUACAGUAGUUGGAAGCAAAGCCUAGCACAUCAUAGCUAAAGCAAGAACUAGAUAACGGCUGAGGCAGCAGCAACGACGAAGAAGGUAAGCCACUGGGAAGACGAUCGGGACCUCAGCGCAUGCUCAUACAUGAUCAAGCAUCGACGGAUGCAAUGUUGGUGGCAUCGUUGCAGAACCGGCCGCACGCAUCGCCGCAGCGCCCCACGCCGACUUUCGUGUCUUCGCCAAGCUCAGCUGAUGACAAGAUCAAGAUAUGUGCAAUGCUCAUUCCAAACCGAAAAAAAAACUUUUCCCUCUUAUGAUAAAUUGAAAGUUAUAUAUACAGAUGAUGAGUUAAUUCAGAUACUACCUGAAUUGACGUUGUCACAGACUGAGAGCCUACAUCCUAAUUUGCAGUACUCAAUGGCGUCUGGUUCUUCUUCCGCAACAGCAGGAGCAAGCAUUAGUCAACCAGCCGUUAAUUGCAAUUUCUAUGCAUCUGGGAGCAAAAUGAUGUAGAGAAAACAGGAAGGGUGGCUUGGGUUCACGUACCAGCUGAACCGGGGAGAAGGUUGAGCUUAGGGUAUUCCCUGGGGCAUGUGCUGUCCCUUGUGAGCACACAGCCACACAUUUUUGAGCAGGGAGUACUNNNNNNNNNNNNNNNNNNNNNNNNNNNNNNNNNNNNNNNNNNNNNNNNNNNNNNNNNNNNNNNNNNNNNNNNNNNNNNNNNNNNNNNNNNNNNNNNNNNNGGGGCUGUGCUCGCAGCCUUGUCCACGGCCAGGCGAUGAACCUAUGGAUGCAGGAAAACGCCCACACCGGCGUACACGCCCGGAAAGACCGAGGCGUAGCUGGCCUUGCCCGCAGCCGGCAUGACCAAGACCUGGCCGGCCUUGCCCGCGGCCGUUGCCGGCUUUGUGGCCGAUGUAGAAACAUAUAAUAAGUUCAGGCAAUCACCGGAGCCUCUCCGGUUUACUAAAUACUACUCCCUCCCUCCGUUCACCAUUAUAGGAUGUUCUAACUUUUUUCUGAAACAGAUGUAUAUAGCCGUAUUUUAGUGUAUUUGUUCACUCAUUUCAGUCCAUAUGUAGUCCAUAUUGAAAUAUAAAAAAUAUCUUAAUAGUGAACGGAGGGAGUAGAAGAUAAGGUUUAGAAGUGCUCCUCUACUGAGUAUGAACGAAGUAAAUUAUGGAACUCGCGGCGGAUCUUCCUCAAGUAUGUACAGAUAUAAAUAAAAGAUUGACGUGGGAUCUCAGUGCAUUUUAUUUUCUUGAUCAAAAGAGAGGCCCCCCUCUCCGAUUUCACUAAGAGAAACCAAGGUUCACAGCUACUACUAGGGUUUUUGUUACCCCGCACACGACAUACUAUCUUACAUGACCGGGGAUUACGACGAACCCCAGCCCAACACCUCAAAAGGAUCGUGCAAGAUCUCAAAAUAAAAGCAGAGCACCCACACAACACUUCAGACACAGCAUACAGUAGUUGGAAGCAAAGCCUAGCACAUCAUAGCUAAAGCAAGAACUAGAUAAUGGCUGAGGCAGCAGCAACGACGAAGAAGGUAAGCCACUGGGAAGACGAUCGGGACCUCAGCGCAUGCUCAUACAUGAUCAAGCAUCGACGGAUGCAAUGUUGGUGGCAUCGUUGCAGAACCGGCCGCACGCAUCGCCGCAGCGCCCCACGCCGACUUUCGUGUCUUCGCCAAGCUCAGCUGAUGACAAGAUCAAGAUAUGUGCAAUGCUCAUUCCAAACCGAAAAAAAAACUUUUCCCUCUUAUGAUAAAUUGAAAGUUAUAUAUACAGAUGAUGAGUUAAUUCAGAUACUACCUGAAUUGACGUUGUCACAGACUGAGAGCCUACAUCCUAAUUUGCAGUACUCAAUGGCGUCUGGUUCUUCUUCCGCAACAGCAGGAGCAAGCAUUAGUCAACCAGCCGUUAAUUGCAAUUUCUAUGCAUCUGGGAGCAAAAUGAUGUAGAGAAAACAGGAAGGGUGGCUUGGGUUCACGUACCAGCUGAACCGGGGAGAAGGUUGAGCUUAGGGUAUUCCCUGGGGCAUGUGCUGUCCCUUGUGAGCACACAGCCACACAUUUUUGAGCAGGGAGUACUUGGGUGCACAAGAAGGCACACGUUGUAACAGUUUCUUGACCUGGUGUCUCUGCAGCAGCUCUUGCCCUCUGCUACUUGGAUUUGUCCCUGGACAAGCAGUCCCAGUAUCAGUAUGAGUGCACACAUGAUCACGCUCUUGAAAUGCUUGCUCUCCAUGGCUGCCUUCCCUGCUGCGAAAACGCACAGGAACAAGACUCGUAUAUAUGGCCCCAAUUUAUAGGAGACGAUGCUCCGCAUGGGCAGUAAUUGUUGAGAAGUGAUAUGCAUGAAUGAGCCGUGCUCCGCUGAGAGCCACGUACACGGUUGAGAUCGUCUACAUGUGCGCUGCGUGCCCUAGGCGAUUAUGCGGUGCCCGCUAACUCCUACCUGCCUCGUGCAUUAAGUUUUCACGUGCAGCUCUUGUGCCAUGGCCGACUAGGAUGUUUUUAGGUGUAUUUUACUUUACUCUUGUGUUAUGGACAGAUACGUGGCCACUCGACCGGUUGUCAUCGUCGACGGUACCUCGCCCAGAAGAUGCCUACUCUCCAUCCUCAUUAGCUUCCGUGUUCUUCUUCUUUUUUCUUUUCUCUUAUUUAUUUUUCAAGAAAACUUCCGAUAUAUUCAUCUGCAAUCAUGGCACUACAACAAACAUCUUAAAUAAUAAAAAUUAUAUCCAGAUCCGUAGACCACCUAGCGACGACUACAAGCAUUGAAGCGAGCUGAAGACGCGCCGCCGUCAUUGCCCCUCCCUUGCAGGAGCUGGACAAAACUUGUUCUAGUAGACAGUCGAAAAAUCGUCGUACUAAGGAAACCGCCGCCGAUGAAGAGAGUAGUGUAGAUCGAAAGAAUUCAAUCUGAAAACACAUGAACAUAGACGAACUAUGAUCAGAUCCGAGCAUAUCCAGCAAGAACAGAUCCGCCGGAGACACACCUCCACAUGCCCAUCGAUGAUGCUAGACACACCAUCGGGAGGGCAGGCUGGGAGAACCUUAUUCCAUCUUCAGGGAGCUGUUGUCAUCUCGUCUUCUUGAAUAGGACACAAACUCUAACAAAAUACGAAGGAACAACUGAAAACAAAGCCCUUCCCCGACAAGGGCCGAGAUCCACCACACCACCAUGGCCCUAAAACCAUCGCAGACGACACGUACCGACGGCAGUACCAGCAGGAGGUGGGGGAACCCUAGACCAGCAAUUUUGUGGCCCAAGUUAGCACCUAGGAAAAAUUCUUCUUCUACUACUUCUUCUCUCUUAGGCUGCCCGUAAUGGAAGUAUCAUACUCCCUCCGUCCGGGUUUAUUGGGCCCCUGGGCGGAGGGAGCUCGUCCGCUCUUAUUAGGCCCCUUAAUCGAUAUGGCUGCCAAAAGCAGAAAACGCUUCGUUGCUUUCUCGAUCUCCUCAGCCGCGGUUCAUCUUCCGAAGCGCAUUAAAUUUCCAUCCGCUGGCAUGCAGAAGAAGCUGCUAUACAUUGAGCGGACUAGUACUCCUAGCACAACGCCACAACAGUAGUCCCAGGAAAGAAACCAGCGUCUCGCCGGCCGGAUGCAGCGCUGUACCAGCAAUGUCGUCGCGACCGAAGGCGGAGCACAGCGUCGACGUUGAUCCGGACGCGGAGACCCAGUCCGGGCUGGGCUUGGACGCGUCGCCGACCAACCUCGCCGCUGCUGGGCACGCAGAGCUCGGUGUCCAUGGUGCGUCGCUGGCGGAGCACAGCGUGGACGUCGAUCCGGACGCGGAGACCCAGUCCGGGCUGGGCUUAGGCGCGCCACUGCCAGACCUCGUCGCUGCUGGGCACGCAGACCUCGGCGUCCAUGAUGCGCCGCAGGCCGAGCACGACAUGAAGGUCGCUCCCGACGCGGAGACCCAGGCGGAGCUGGGCUUGGGCGUCCAGGACAUGCAGGUAUGUAUGCAUGCCUUAUCCAGGGAUCAUGGUGAUGUUUAGUCGGUGCAGUUAGGCCGGCCAUGGUACUUAGCUUUUGUAGGAUGAAUAGCAAACGAUGCAUGCUCCACCCUUGUCUUUACAUGAUGGCUACAUGCAGGGCGGCGUGCUGGACGUGGGGCAGGGCAUCCUCGCGCAUGCCCACGACGUGCUCGACGUCGCGCAGGGCAUCCUCGCGCUCGCCCAGGAGGGUCCAUACCUUGGGGCGCUGCUGGACCAGGUGGAGGCUCUCAUGGACACCGUCACGGCGCUCGUCGACGACGCCACGGCAUUGGUGAACCAGCGACCGGGUGUGCUCGGCAGGGAGGAGGGAUUCGUGGUGCCAAGGAGGACUGGAUUCGGACUGAAGAGAGUUGAACACGCCAAGAUCUAGGGCGUUAGUGUCCGGAGAAUUAGGUGGCUGCAUCACAACCCUAAUGUCCCAACCACCUUGAGCAGCUGCCGCACACACCGCCGGAUCAUCUGGUCGAACAUGUGUCUUGCCAUUGUCCUGUUGGAUGAAAAUAGGCUUGUACCGAUCCUCUUGCGGCCACUUCUCCUUGAUUGCCGGCAACACCUUCGUGAUCAAGUAUUCCCGGCUCUUCUCCAUGCCGACUUUAUCGCAUGGCUUGAGCUCCAACGUUCCUCUAGGCCUGUUUGGGCUUCUCCUCUGUGAUGGUUUCCACUCAACAUAGGGCCAAAUUCCAAUUUUACCAUCAAAAGUACAAUUGCCUUGCAUAUCAUAUCUUGGCCUAGCAACAGUAGCAAGAACCAUGAUCUUCUCAAUGUGUCCCUUGUUUUUGGCGUGCCUCACGGGGUUCGGCUCGUUAAUGCCCAAAUAAACCCCCUGGGUUUUCCUUGUACGAUAAAACCACUUUUCAUCAAUAUGGACCACAUUAAACGAAUCCUUGAAGACAGGGUUCUCCGGCAUACUAGCGGGUUCUAGGUUUGAAAGGCAAUACAUGACACGAGCUUUCUUGUUUUCUUCCGCUAGCAUAGGCUUGAGCUCGUUGGUGUGUUUGCGUAACUCAUGCUCCUUCAAAAGCCUGUGAACGGUGGUCUUCGCCAUGUUCAAUGCACCGGCAACAUCUCUAAUUGUUGUUCGAUCAUUCGGAGGGACGGCGGCUAAAGCAUCUGAGUCCAAUGUAACACGCUUUCUACCAACUCUGCCCGGCCGCUUGUUGAUAACCGCAUUCACACCACCUCCUCUCCUACCAUUAUCCCAUAUCCGCCGAAGAACCCUAACUGACACUUUAUAUAGAGCUGAUAUUUUCUUAGUCACCCCACGUUUCAAUGGACCACGUCCAUUUAUCUCCAAAAUGGCCGUAUACAGUGAACGCUUUUCGUCAUCAGUAUGAAAUGUCCUUCUUUUCCUAUUGGCCAUCACAUCUGGGAACAAACAUAAGAGUAGAAUUUUGUUAAACAACAAGUGUGAAAAUAAGUGUUCAUACAUCUGGGAACAAAUAUAAACAAUAUAAAAAAAUACCUAUUGCUCAUUCUGUAAAGUUGCAGGAAAUAUACAUGUGCAAAAUCCAUCUAUGAAACCGAUAAAAAAAUAUACGCACUGUUCCAUUGCAUAUUCGAACUAAAAAAUAAGUGUUCAUACACAAAGCAAGCAAACCUACUUAGAUCGAUGAUGUUGUUGGUCUCAUGAUCUUCAGCGUUCUGGUCCGUGCCGUCUCCUUCUUCCUCGACGUGCUGGUCCAUGCCAUGUCCGUGCUCCUCGCCGUGCUGGUCCAUGCCGUGGUCGUCCUCGCCGUGCUGGUCCAUGUCGUGGCCGUCCUGGCCGUGCUGGUCCGUACCCUGGCCAUCUUCCUCGCCGUUCUGGUCCGUGCCGUGGCCUUCUUCCUCGACGUGCUGGUCCAUGUCGUGGCCGCCGUACGCGCCGCCAUCGUGAGAACGGAAGGCGCCGCCGUCGUGGGCACCGUACGCGCCGCUGUCGUGUGCAUAGUACGCGCCACCGUCGUGGGCACCGUAUGCGCCGCUGUCGUGUGCACAGUACGCGCCGCCGUCGUGGGCAUCGUACGCGCCGCCGUCGUGUGCACAGUACGCGCCGCCGUCUUCGUGCCUUGUGAACCAACGACUGCCCCGCCAGCCGGACAUACUACCAUUGGAGGAGCUCGCCACCGACGGCAACCGACCAGCAAGACCGAGACGAAGAUGGCGUUCAGCGCCGGACGAGCUACCUAUGUCGCGAACGGCAGCGUGUCCUCCCCCGAGGAGCGCGGGGCUGUGCUCGCAGCCUUGUCCACGGCCAGGCGAUGAACCUAUGGAUGCAGGAAAACGCCCACACCGGCGUACACGCCCGGAAAGACCGAGGCGUAGCUGGCCUUGCCCGCAGCCGGCAUGACCAAGACCUGGCCGGCCUUGCCCGCGGCCGUUGCCGGCUUUGUGGCCGAUGUAGAAACAUAUAAUAAGUUCAGGCAAUCACCGGAGCCUCUCCGGUUUACUAAAUACUACUCCCUCCCUCCGUUCACCAUUAUAGGAUGUUCUAACUUUUUUCUGAAACAGAUGUAUAUAGCCGUAUUUUAGUGUAUUUGUUCACUCAUUUCAGUCCAUAUGUAGUCCAUAUUGAAAUAUAAAAAAUAUCUUAAUAGUGAACGGAGGGAGUAGAAGAUAAGGUUUAGAAGUGCUCCUCUACUGCGUAUGAACGAAGUAAAUUAUGGAACUCGCGGCGGAUCUUCCUCAAGUAUGUACAGAUAUAAAUAAAAGAUUGACGUGGGAUCUCGGUGCAUUUUAUUUUCUUGAUCAAAAGAGAGGCCCCCCUCUCCGAUUUCACUAAGAGAAACCAAGGUUCACAGCUACUACUAGGGUUUUUGUUACCCCGCACACGACAUACUAUCUUACAUGACCGGGGAUUACGACGAACCCCAGCCCAGCACCUCAAAAGGAUCGUGCAAGAUCUGAAAAUAAAAGCAGAGCACCCACACAACACUUCAGACACAGCAUACAGUAGUUGGAAGCAAAGCCUAGCACAUCAUAGCUAAAGCAAGAACUAGAUAACGGCUGAGACAGCAGCAACGACGAAGAAGGUAAGCCACUGGGAAGACGAUCGGGACCUCAGCGCAUGCUCAUACAUGAUCAAGCAUCGACGGAUGCAAUGUUGGUGGCAUCGUUGCAGAACCGGCCGCACGCAUCGCCGCAGCGCCCCACGCCGACUUUCGUGUCUUCGCCAAGCUCAGCUGAUGACAAGAUCAAGAUAUGUGCAAUGCUCAUUCCAAACCGAAAAAAAAACUUUUCCCUCUUAUGAUAAAUUGAAAGUUAUAUAUACAGAUGAUGAGUUAAUUCAGAUACUACCUGAAUUGACGUUGUCACAGACUGAGAGCCUACAUCCUAAUUUGCAGUACUCAAUGGCGUCUGGUUCUUCUUCCGCAACAGCAGGAGCAAGCAUUAGUCAACCAGCCGUUAAUUGCAAUUUCUAUGCAUCUGGGAGCAAAAUGAUGUAGAGAAAACAGGAAGGGUGGCUUGGGUUCACGUACCAGCUGAACCGGGGAGAAGGUUGAGCUUAGGGUAUUCCCUGGGGCAUGUGCUGUCCCUUGUGAGCACACAGCCACACAUUUUUGAGCAGGGAGUACUGGGGUGCACAAGAAGGCACACGUUGUAACAGUUUCUUGACCUGGUGUCUCUGCAGCAGCUCUUGCCCUCUGCUACUUGGAUUUGUCCCUGGACAAGCAGUCCCAGUAUCAGUAUGAGUGCACACAUGAUCACGCUCUUGAAAUGCUUGCUCUCCAUGGCUGCCUUCCCUGCUGCGAAAACGCACAGGAACAAGACUCGUAUAUAUGGCCCCAAUUUAUAGGAGACGAUGCUCCGCAUGGGCAGUAAUUGUUGAGAAGUGAUAUGCAUGAAUGAGCCGUGCUCCGCUGAGAGCCACGUACACGGUUGAGAUCGUCUACGUGUGCGCUGCGUGCCCUAGGCGAUUAUGCGGUGCCCGCUAACUCCUACCUGCCUCGUGCAUUAAGUUUUCACGUGCAGCUCUUGUGCCAUGGCCGACUAGGAUGUUUUUAGGUGUAUUUUACUUUACUCUUGUGUUAUGGACAGAUACGUGGCCACUCGACCGGUUGUCCUCGUCGACGGUACCUCGCCCAGAAGAUGCCUACUCUCCAUCCUCAUUAGCUUCCGUGUUCUUCUUCUUUUUUCUUUUCUCUUAUUUAUUUUUCAAGAAAACUUCCGAUAUAUUCAUCUGCAAUCAUGGCACUACAACAAACAUCUUAAAUAAUAAAAAUUAUAUCCAGAUCCGUAGACCACCUAGCGACGACUACAAGCAUUGAAGCGAGCUGAAGACGCGCCGCCGUCAUUGCCCCUCCCUUGCAGGAGCUGGACAAAACUUGUUCUAGUAGACAGUCGAAAAAUCGUCGUACUAAGGCAACCGCCGCCGAUGAAGAGAGUAGUGUAGAUCGAAAGAAUUCAAUCUGAAAACACAUGAACAUAGACGAACUAUGAUCAGAUCCGAGCAUAUCCAGCAAGAACAGAUCCGCCGGAGACACACCUCCACAUGCCCAUCGAUGAUGCUAGACACACCAUCGGGAGGGCAGGCUGGGAGAACCUUAUUCCAUCUUCAGGGAGCUGUUGUCGUCUCGUCUUCUUGAAUAGGACACAAACUCUAACAAAAUACGAAGGAACAACUGAAAACAAAGCCCUUCCCCAACAAGGGCCGAGAUCCACCACACCACCAUGGCCCUAAAACCAUCGCAGACGACAUGUACCGACGACAGUACCAGCAGGAGGUGGGGGAACCCUAGACCAGCAAUUUUGUGGCCCAAGUUAGCACCUAGGAAAAAUUCUUCUUCUACUACUUCUUCUCUCUUAGGCUGCCCGUAAUGGAAGUAUCAUACUCCCUCCGUCCGGGUUUAUUGGGCCCCUGGGCGGAGGGAGCUCGUCCGCUCUUAUUAGGCCCCUUAAUCGAUAUGGCUGCCAAAAGCAGAAAAUGCUUCGUUGCUUUCUCGAUCUCCUCAGCCGCGGUUCAUCUUCCGAAGCGCAUUAAAUUUCCAUCCGCUGGCAUGCAGAAGAAGCUGCUAUACAUUGAGCGGACUAGUACUCCUAGCACAACGCCACAACAGUAGUCCCAGGAAAGAAACCAGCGUCUCGCCGGCCGGAUGCAGCGAUGUACCAGCAAUGUCGUCGCGACCGAAGGCGGAGCACAGCGUCGACGUUGAUCCGGACGCGGAGACCCAGUCCGGGCUGGGCUUGGACGCGUCGCCGACCAACCUCGCCGCUGCUGGGCACGCAGAGCUCGGUGUCCAUGGUGCGUCGCUGGCGGAGCACAGCGUGGACGUCGAUCCGGACGCGGAGACCCAGUCCGGGCUGGGCUUAGGCGCGCCACUGCCAGACCUCGUCGCUGCUGGGCACGCAGACCUCGGCGUCCAUGAUGCGCCGCAGGCCGAGCACGACAUGAAGGUCGCUCCCGACGCGGAGACCCAGGCGGAGCUGGGCUUGGGCGUCCAGGACAUGCAGGUAUGUAUGCAUGCCUUAUCCAGGGAUCAUGGUGAUGUUUAGUCGGUGCAGUUAGGCCGGCCAUGGUACUUAGCUUUUGUAGGAUGAAUAGCAAACGAUGCAUGCUCCACCCUUGUCUUUACAUGAUGGCUACAUGCAGGGCGGCGUGCUGGACGUGGGGCAGGGCAUCCUCGCGCAUGCCCACGACGUGCUCGACGUCGCGUAGGGCAUCCUCGCGCUCGCCCAGGAGGGUCCAGACCUUGGGGCGCUGCUGGACCAGGUGGAGGCUCUCAUGGACACCGUCACGGCGCUCGUCGACGACGCCACGGCAUUGGUGAACCAGCGACCGGGUGUGCUCGGCAGGGAGGAGGGAUUCGUGGUGCCAAGGAGGACUGCAUUCGGACUGAAGAGAGUUGAACACGCCAAGAUCUAGGGCGUUAGUGUCCGGAGAAUUAGGUGGCUGCAUCACAACCCUAAUGUCCCAACCACCUUGAGCAGCUGCCGCACACACCGCCGGAUCAUCUGGUCGAACAUGUGUCUUGGCAUUGUCCUGUUGGAUGAAAAUAGGCUUGUACCGAUCCUCUUGCGGCCACUUCUCCUUGAUUGCCGGCAACACCUUCGUGAUCAAGUAUUCCCGGCUCUUCUCCAUGCCGACUUUAUCGCAUGGCUUGAGCUCCAACGUUCCUCUAGGCCUGUUUGGGCUUCUCCUCUGUGAUGGUUUCCACUCAACAUAGGGCCAAAUUCCAAUUUUACCAUCAAAAGUACAAUUGCCUUGCAUAUCAUAUCUUGGCCUAGCAACAGCAGCAAGAAACAUGAUCUUCUCAAUGUGUCCCUUGUUUUUGGCGUGCCUCACGGGGUUCGGCUCGUUAAUGCCCAAAUAAACCCCCUGGGUUUUCCUUGUACGAUAAAACCACUUUUCAUCAAUAUGGACCACAUUAAACGAAUCCUUGAAGACAGGGUUCUCCGGCAUACUAGCGGGUUCUAGGUUUGAAAGGCAAUACAUGACACGAGCUUUCUUGUUUUCUUCCGCUAGCAUAGGCUUGAGCUCGUUGGUGUGUUUGCGUAACUCAUGCUCCUUCAAAAGCCUGUGAACGGUGGUCUUCGCCAUGUUCAAUGCACCGGCAACAUCUCUAAUUGUUGUUCGAUCAUUCGGAGGGACGGCGGCUAAAGCAUCUGAGUCCAAUGUAACACGCUUUCUACCAACUCUGCCCGGCCGCUUGUUGAUAACCGCAUUCACACCACCUCCUCUCCUACCAUUAUCCCAUAUCCGCCGAAGAACCCUAACUGACACUUUAUAUAGAGCUGAUAUUUUCUUAGUCACCCCACGUUUCAAUGGACCACGUCCAUUUAUCUCCAAAAUGGCCGUAUACAGUGAACGCUUUUCGUCAUCAGUAUGAAAUGUCCUUCUUUUCCUAUUGGCCAUCACAUCUGGGAACAAACAUAAGAGUAGAAUUUUGUUAAACAACAAGUGUGAAAAUAAGUGUUCAUACAUCUGGGAACAAAUAUAAACAUUAUAAAAAAAUACCUAUUGCUCAUUCUGUAAAGUUGCAGGAAAUAUACAUGUGCAAAAUCCAUCUAUGAAACCGAUAAAAAAAUAUACGUACUGUUCCAUUGCAUAUUCGAACUAAAAAAUAAGUGUUCAUACACAAAGCAAGCAAACCUACUUAGAUCGAUGAUGUUGUUGGUCUCAUGAUCUUCAGCGUUCUGGUCCGUGCCGUCUCCUUCUUCCUCGACGUGCUGGUCCAUGCCAUGUCCGUGCUCCUCGCCGUGCUGGUCCAUGCCGUGGUCGUCCUCGCCGUGCUGGUCCAUGUCGUGGCCGUCCUGGCCGUGCUGGUCCGUACCCUGGCCAUCUUCCUCGCCGUUCUGGUCCGUGCCGUGGCCUUCUUCCUCGACGUGCUGGUCCAUGUCGUGGCCGCCGUACGCGCCGCCAUCGUGAGAACGGAAGGCGCCGCCGUCGUGGGCACCGUACGCGCCGCUGUCGUGUGCAUAGUACGCGCCACCGUCGUGGGCACCGUAUGCGCCGCUGUCGUGUGCACAGUACGCGCCGCCGUCGUGGGCAUCGUACGCGCCGCCGUCGUGUGCACAGUACGCGCCGCCGUCUUCGUGCCUUGUGAACCAACGACUGCCCCGCCAGCCGGACAUACUACCACUGGAGGAGCUCGCCACCGACGGCAACCGACCAGCAAGACCGAGACGAAGAUGGCGUUCAGCGCCGGACGAGCUACCUAUGUCGCGAACGGCAGCGUGUCCUCCCCCGAGGAGCGCGGGGCUGUGCUCGCAGCCUUGUCCACGGCCAGGCGAUGAACCUAUGGAUGCAGGAAAACGCCCACACCGGCGUACACGCCCGGAAAGACCGAGGCGUAGCUGGCCUUGCCCGCAGCCGGCAUGACCAAGACCUGGCCGGCCUUGCCCGCGGCCGUUGCCGGCUUUGUGGCCGAUGUAGAAACAUAUAAUAAGUUCAGGCAAUCACCGGAGCCUCUCCGGUUUACUAAAUACUACUCCCUCCCUCCGUUCACCAUUAUAGGAUGUUCUAACUUUUUUCUGAAACAGAUGUAUAUAGCCGUAUUUUAGUGUAUUUGUUCACUCAUUUCAGUCCAUAUGUAGUCCAUAUUGAAAUAUAAAAAAUAUCUUAAUAGUGAACGGAGGGAGUAGAAGAUAAGGUUUAGAAGUGCUCCUCUACUGAGUAUGAACGAAGUAAAUUAUGGAACUCGCGGCGGAUCUUCCUCAAGUAUGUACAGAUAUAAAUAAAAGAUUGACGUGGGAUCUCAGUGCAUUUUAUUUUCUUGAUCAAAAGAGAGGCCCCCCUCUCCGAUUUCACUAAGAGAAACCAAGGUUCACAGCUACUACUAGGGUUUUUGUUACCCCGCACACGACAUACUAUCUUACAUGACCGGGGAUUACGACGAACCCCAGCCCAGCACCUCAAAAGGAUCGUGCAAGAUCUCAAAAUAAAAGCAGAGCACCCACACAACACUUCAGACACAGCAUACAGUAGUUGGAAGCAAAGCCUAGCACAUCAUAGCUAAAGCAAGAACUAGAUAACGGCUGAGGCAGCAGCAACGACGAAGAAGGUAAGCCACUGGGAAGACGAUCGGGACCUCAGCGCAUGCUCAUACAUGAUCAAGCAUCGACGGAUG